CACUGCCUGCCCCAGUGACAAUAGUUUAAAACGGCCGCGGUAUCCUGACCGUGCAAAGGUAGCAUAAUCAUUUGUUCCUUAAAUAGGGACUUGUAUGAAUGGCCACACGAGGGUUUAACUGUCUCUUACUUCCAAUCAGUGAAAUUGACCUUUCCGUGAAGAGGCGGAAAUACACAAAUAAGACGAGAAGACCCUAUGGAGCUUUAAUUCACUUAACCCAACAGAAUAACAAUUCACUCCAUCAAGGAUUAACAAAUAUUCUAACUGGGUUAAAAAUUUCGGUUGGGGUGACCUCGGAGCAUAAAACAACCUCCGAGAAACAUUUACUAAGACUAACAAGUCAAAGUGCUAUUCCACAAAUUGAUCCAGUCUUACUGAUCAACGGAACAAGUUACCCUAGGGAUAACAGCGCAAUCCUAUUUUAGAGUCCCUAUCGACAAUAGGGUUUACGACCUCGAUGUUGGAUCAGGACAUCCCAAUGGUGCAGCAGCUAUUAACGG
rnacentral:rRNA from 1 species